rnacentral:rRNA from 1 species
UACGGAGGGGGUUAGAGUUGUUCGGAAUUACUGGGCGUAAAGCGCGCGUAGGCGGAUUAGAAAGUUGGGGGUGAAAUCCCGGGGCUCAACCCCGGAACUGCCUCCAAAACUACUAGUCUAGAGUUCGAGAGAGGUGAGUGGAAUUCCGAGUGUAGAGGUGAAAUUCGUAGAUAUUCGGAGGAACACCAGUGGCGAAGGCGGCUCACUGGCUCGAUACUGACGCUGAGGUGCGAAAGUGUGGGGAGCAAACAGG